ensembl:lncRNA
UGCUGCCCCCCCUCCCCACCCCCGAUCGGCCUCUCCCCCUCGUCCCCCCUCCAGGAACGACUUGACUCACCAGGGAGAAGAGGUUGGAGUGACAGUCCUCCAGGCUCGCCCCGUUCGCCGCCGCAGUCAUGGUCCUCCUCGGCGAGCCCGGCCUCCAGAGCGGGGCAUGUCUGGCCGGGCCGGGCGGAGCGGAGCGGGGUAGCAGCAGCAGCAGCCGCACAGGCGCCGAGGGGGGCGGGCCCGGCGGCGGAUCCGCCCGCCCGCCCUCUCUCUCUCUCUCUCUCUCUCUUCCCCUCCUUCCUUCCUUCCUUCCUUCCCGCCGAGAGCUUCACCCACCCCACCCCCGUCCCCCGGAUGCCCGAUCGGCAGCCGAGCCGGAGAGAAAGGGCGGCGGCGGCGGCGGCGGCGGGCGAGCAGCAGCAGCAGCCGCCACUCGGUGCGGGCGGGGCUGCCGCUUCCGCCUUCUUCCCUCGCUCGCCCGCCCGCGUCGGGCCAAAGAAAUGAUGAUGGGGAGAGAGAGGAGGGAGGGAGGGGGUGCGGGAAACGAGGCGGGCGGCGACGACAAACGAAAGGUGCGCGCGCUUCACAGGGGAGCCGCCGCUGUUGCUGUUGCUGCUGCCGCCGCCGGGUGGGUCCCCUCAGGGCGGGCGGAGGCAGGCAGCCGCUCCUCCUUCUCUGGCGGAGGAGGAGGAGGAGGCGGCGGCGGCGUCCUCUUCCUCGCCGCCCGGCUACGGAUGGAGCGCGGCCGCCGCCGCCGCCGCCGCUCCUUCUCCCGGUUGCCUGCUGGGGAGUUCUGGGAGUUGGAGCCCAAAGGUCUUAACAUUGCCAAUGUUGGACAUCCCUGA